CCUUAAAGUUAGUUGCCAUUCUUUGCUGUAGCUCAUUUGUUCUUUUCAAUCCAGAGAAAUAUUAGAACGUUAAAACUUAUCACAUAGGAGGGUUUAAUCAUCCUACCAAAAUUAGACAGCAUGUAGCUCUGAAAGACUGAAUGUCAAAUUGUGUGCUCGUAGCCCUUAAACUACUGAGAAUCUAGGACCCCACUACUACAUUUAAAAUGACUGUUCAUGUUUGUGGAAAACCGUGGACGCUUAGGAACUGGUAAAGCUAGAGGUCUCUUACUCUUUGAUUAAGGGCACCACUUUCAGAUAAAAACAUAGACCUGAAUGGCAUCAUCCAGUAUCCAAGGAAACCAUAUGAUCUUUCCUGCCUGGGUUAUAUCUGCAGAGCAGCCGACACUCAUUCUUAUAAAUGUGUUUAUGUUUGAGAUUGGAUGUAGUGGAGGAUGGAAGGAUAUAAAAUGAGAGAAGGGAACCACUGGAGAUUUUGAGAUGGUCUGUUUAUUGAGAGCAACUUAGAUCCUAAAUUUGUCACCAGCUCUGGAUUUCUCUCCCAAGCCAGGAUUGUGUGAAGUCAUUACAAUUUAAAGCAUACUGUUGGUCGGUCAUUCCCUGGACUCCAACUUCUGUUUCACCCCCAACAUACAGAGUAGAGAAGAAAUGAACUACUAUAUGGAGAUUGCUUUCUCCUACUUAUCAAGACAGAGUGGUGUACAUUCACUUCUUUUGGGGGCAUGUGUUCCAAGAAGAAGCAGAUUUCCAUUACAGACUUGAAACUGAGGUAUGUGAGGAGCACACAGAUAUCGUUCUUUUGAACUUUGAAGGAGAUAAUUUGCUGUUAACAUAAAAAUAAGACUAUUCACAAAUCAUUAGCUCUGAAGAAAAAUGACAUCAACAUUGUGAGGUACUCCGCCUGUUGGACAAAUACAGAAAGAAUCAAUUGUGGCAUACCUCUUGACUAAAGAGCAUCAGUGAAUAACUGCCUGCAGGGCUUGUUAUAUUUCUGAAUUGUAUGUAUGGUUUACAGUUGCGGCCAUGUGGUAAUUGCACCAAGUUGACCAUAUUAAUAGUGAGUUUAUCUACACCAUCUGCUGUUAUAUUGACAUCUACGUUUUUCAAGAUAGCACCCUAUUUUUGUUCUGUUAUUUCUUCUUUUCCUUCUUCGUUUCCAACCAUCCCUACUGAUAUCUGCACCAUUUCAUGUUAUCAAAAAAAGGAGGCUUUCAGUGGAGAAGUGAUGGAUGGCAGGGAUAAGUGACCAAAGAACUCAGUAGAAAAAAGUUGUAAUUCAUGGCCCCAUACAACUGUAAAAAGGUGAGUCUUCAGGUAAGAAAGUAUAUGGAGUAAGCGUGAAAGAGACAGGAGGGUUUAAAAAAUCAAAGGAAAUGGCUGACAGGAUAGAGGAGAAUGAGGACCAUACAUGUGUAGGAUAACGGCAGAACAGUUCAGAGAUUAAGAUGGCAUUAAUGUGAUCAUCAGAAAGAUACUUCAAAGUUUUGGCAACACACUCCAACAGCAGUAACUCCAAGGAGCCUUCUGAAAUCAGGAGCCAACAGGUGAGGUUUCCUUUAACUUUAUUCUUGAAUUGCAGUCAAGAUUAACUUGUAUAAGCCCCAUUUUCUGAUGUUUUAGUUUGUUUCCAAAGCGCUGUUCCUUCCAGUUCAUUUUUUCACUUAUCCUCACAAGGUAGCUGUGAUAGCUUCUGAGCAAAUCUCCUGGCACCCAACUCUUAGCUAAUUCCAUUAGAAAACACUGACUUUGUGUGUGAAAGGUGAAAAAAAUUCUAUUAAAUCGUUGCUAGAUUUUUAGAACUAUAGCUAAAGUUCAGGAAAGGCUUGGGGUUCCAAAGAGUAGAAAGAUAGAGAAAAGAGCAAACGUAUAUAUUCAGUAUAAGCCAACAGAAUUAACCUGGGCAUUAUUUCAGCUUUUGUUCCCUGAAGCCAUGGAUCAAUGGUGCAGAAAUAGACACUCACCUCUGACAAAGAAAAAGCAUGGAUACUGGCAUGGGAGGGCAUGGUUCCUUUUCUUUCAGCCCCAGAUCAAAUUUAAACCUGUGAUUUUGGAGCUUACUCAUCAGAGGAGAAAUAUCAUGAGCUAUUUGCUCUCUCUGCUGUAACACAGCUCUGGCAAGCCUGGAAGUUGUGUUGAGAUCGUCAAAUCUAUAGUCAAGGACCAUCUUUGUGAAUCAUGAAACCAUAUGCCACUGGUUGUCUGAAUUGGAGGAAAAAAAACACCCCAAAACAAAAAAACCCAACUCUACACCAACGAAACUAGUGAUGUGCUUAGACAGUGCCAAGGGCCAUUUGACCAUCUUACACCUUCUCAAUCUAUGCAUUUAAAAAAUUUGUUGCUACUGCCUGAACCAUGUAAAAUACCAGAACUCCUGUAGUGCUAACAAGGAAUAAAGAUCUUGCACCAGA